UGGGGAAUAUUGCACAAUGGGCGCAAGCCUGAUGCAGCCAUGCCGCGUGUGUGAAGAAGGCCUUCGGGUUGUAAAGCACUUUUGUCCGGAAAGAAAUCCUUGGCUCUAAUACAGUCGGGGAUGACGGUACCGGAAGAAUAAGCACCGGCUAACUACGUGCCAGCAGCCGCGGUAAUACGUAGGGUGCAAGCGUUAAUCGGAAUUACUGGGCGUAAAGCGUGCGCAGGCGGUUUGCUAAGACCGAUGUGAAAUCCCCGGGCUCAACCUGGGAACUGCAUUGGUGACUGGCAGGCUAGAGUAUGGCAGAGGGGGGUAGAAUUCCACGUGUAGCAGUGAAAUGCGUAGAGAUGUGGAGGAAUACCGAUGGCGAAGGCAGCCCCCUGGGCCAAUACUGACGCUCAUGCACGAAAGCGUGGGGAGCAAACAGGAUUAGAUACCCUGGUAGUCCACGCCCUAAACGAUGUCAACUAGUUGUUGGGGAUUCAUUUUCCUUAGUAACGUAGCUAACGCGUGAAGUUGACCGCCUGGGGAGUACGGUCGCAAGAUUAAAAGCUUAAAUG
rnacentral:rRNA from 1 species